GAAAUGGAAUGCCAUAGGAAAGGCUGGGAUGAUCCAUUCAGAGCAGUUGAGAAAUGGAUUGCAUUUGCAUGCGGUCUGUAUGAGUGUAUACUUCCCUCUGUGGUCGUAGUGUGUAGGCAUCUGGUCAUCAUGGUGACUUGUCCUGCGGUUGGACGCUCAGCAGCGGAAUGCAGACAUGUGGGUGGGAGUCGUCAACUAUGUGGUCAGCCUGUGGACUUCUCCUUUGGGCUUCAUCAUGGACAUGGAAAACAAGCCCAACAUCAUCAACAAGAACAAAAACAACAAAAAAGUAACAGUUCUGUUUGUCUUGGACCUCAUGCAAUCUGAAAAGAACAAAACAGCCUUGAAAGGAACAGCAGCUGCAGGUCUGUCACAACAGAAGGUGGCAGAUGGCCAGUAGUGGGUAGAGAUGUGACACCAACCCUGC